rnacentral:rRNA from 1 species
AUGGGUAAGUUGCUAGCCUUGAAGCAACUAUAUGGUGAUUGGGAUAUCAGCUUUGACAAUUUGUAUAGGUUUAAGGCACAAGUUGAAAGUUGUUGCCCCGGUAGCAUAGUGCAGAUUGAUCAUCACACAAUAAAUGGUAAAAUCAGGUUUAGAAGAAUUUUUGUUGCUAUGAAACCUUGCAUAGAGGGGUUCCUUAGUGGUUGCAUACCAUAUUUGGCAAUAGAUAGCACAUUCUUGAUGGGUAGGUUCAAGGGGCAGCUGGCUAGUGCUACCGCUGUUGAUGGCCAUAAUUGGAUGUAUCCGGUUAGUUUUGGAGUCUUUGAUUCUGAAACUAACGAGAAUUGGAUUUGGUUCAUGCAAUUGCUAAGACAGGCCAUAGGAUCACCAAAUGGGUUGGCCAUAUGCACCGAUGCUGGUCAAGCAGUAAUGACAGGGGUGAAAGAAGUGUUCCCAGAGGCGGAACAUAGGGAAUGCAUGUUUCACUUGGUGACCAACUUCAAGAAGAAGUUCCAUGGGAAGGUGUUUGGUGACCAUCUUUGGGUUGCUGCUUACUCAUGGAACCCGUAUUUAUUUGAUAAACAUUGGGUUGCUCUGGAGAUAAUAAAGCUUUGGGUUGUUGCUUACUCAUGCAACUGCAUAUAUAAGGAAGUGGCACAAUAG